AUUGAACGCUGGCGGAAUGCUUUACACAUGCAAGUCGAACGGUAGAGGGGGCAACCCCUUGAGAGUGGCGAACGGGUGAGUAAUAUAUCGGAACGUGCCCAGUCGUGGGGAUAACGUAGCGAAAGUUACGCUAAUACCGCAUACGAUCUAAGGAUGAAAGCGGGGGAUCGCAAGACCUCGCGCGAUUGGAGCGGCCGAUAUCAGAUUAGGUAGUUGGUGGGGUAAAGGCUCACCAAGCCAACGAUCUGUAGCUGGUCUGAGAGGACGACCAGCCACACUGGAACUGAGACACGGUCCAGACUCCUACGGGAGGCAGCAGUGGGGAAUUUUGGACAAUGGACGCAAGUCUGAUCCAGCCAUUCCGCGUGCAGGAUGAAGGCCCUCGGGUUGUAAACUGCUUUUGUACGGAACGAAAAGGUUUCUAUUAAUACUAGGAGCUCAUGACGGUACCGUAAGAAUAAGCACCGGCUAACUACGUGCCAGCAGCCGCGGU
rnacentral:rRNA from 1 species